rnacentral:rRNA from 1 species
AGUGAACGCUGGCGGUAGGCCUAACACAUGCAAGUCGAACGGCAGCACAGUAAGAGCUUGCUCUUACGGGUGGCGAGUGGCGGACGGGUGAGGAAUACAUCGGAAUCUACUUUUUCGUGGGGGAUAACGUAGGGAAACUUACGCUAAUACCGCAUACGACCUACGGGUGAAAGCAGGGGAUCUUCGGACCUUGCGCGAUUGAAUGAGCCGAUGUCGGAUUAGCUAGUUGGCGGGGUAAAGGCCCACCAAGGCGACGAUCCGUAGCUGGUCUGAGGGGGUGAUCAGCCACACUGGAACUGAGACACGGUCCAGACUCCUACGGGAGGCAGCAGAGGGGAAUAUUGGACAAUGGGCGCAAGCCUGAUCCAGCCAUACCGCGUGGGUGAAGAAGGCCUUCGGGUUGUAAAGCCCUUUUGUUGGGAAAGAAAAGCAGCAGGUUAAUACCCCGCUGUUCUGACGGUACCCAAAGAAUAAGCACCGGCUAACUUCGUG